rnacentral:rRNA from 1 species
GACGAACCGUGCGAACGUUGUUCGGAAUCACUGGGCUUAAAGGGCGCGUAGGCGGGCCAGCAAGUCAGGGGUGAAAUCCCACGGCUCAACCGUGGAAGUGCCUUUGAUACUGCUGGUCUGGAGGGAGAUAGGGGCGUGCGGAACUUCCGGUGGAGCGGUGAAAUGCGUAGAUAUCGGAAGGAACACCGGUGGCGAAAGCGGCGCGCUGGAUCUCUACUGACGCUGAGGCGCGAAAGCCAGGGGAGCAAACGGG